GGGGUGGUAGCUUAGUGGUAGAGCACUUGCCUAGCAAGCUUGAUGCCCUAGGUUUCACCCCA
rnacentral:tRNA from 1 species